CAUUGGGUAAUAAUAUUAAUCCAAUAAUUAAAAAUGAUCAAGAGAGUUGAUCCAGGGAGUAAAAAAUCGAAAGCACCAACUACCUUAUACUUCCGAUAGCAUAAUAGCUCUACUCUAUUAAAUAGGAAAAACUUCAAAUAUCAUUUCUGUAGUUUUGCACUUUUUUACUUUAGUACUCUGUGAUUUAAAGUGCAUCAAUUUAGUACCCUGUGGUUUCAUUUUUCUCUUUUCGUCGGCUCCUCUGUUAAUAUUUCGUUAAAUUAUAUACAAAAAACUUCAAAUACCCUAUCUAGAUUUAUCGAAUAUACUUUAGUACCCUUUACUUUUAACUUUGUCACUAUUUUUUUCCUCCGUUAAUAUUUCGUUAAAUUAUAUAGAAAAAACUUCAGAUACCUUACCUAGGUUUAUCGAAUAUUCACUUUAGUACCCUUUAAUUUUAACUUUGUCACUGAUUUAACGAAAAAAAUUAGUGAAAUGGAUAAUAACAAGAGAAAAAUGAAACCAUAGGGUACUAACUUGAUACACUUUAAAUCACAGGAUACUAAAGUUAGAAAGUGCGAAACCACAGAGCCUAACUUGAUACACUUUAAACCACAGGGUACUAAAGUGAGAAAGUGCAAAACCACAGGGCCUAAUUUGAUACACUUUAAAUCACAGGGUACUAAAGUGAGAAAGCGUGAAACCACAGGGGAGU
rnacentral:lncRNA from 1 species